rnacentral:rRNA from 1 species
AGCGCAUUCGGUGAAUGCCUAGGCGGUAAAAGGCGAUGAAGGACGUGACAAUCUGCGAUAUGCCUCGGGGAGCUGAUAAUAAGCUUUGAUCCGGGGAUUUCCGAAUGGGAAAACCCAGCUGUUUAUAACAGUUAUCAAAUACUAAAAGGGAAACCAUAGGUAUUUGAAGCAAACCCAGGGAACUGAAAUAUCUAAGUACCUGGAGGAAAAGAAAUCAACCGAGAUUCCCUUAGUAGCGACGAGCGAAAGGGGACCAGCCCAGAUGCAACCAUCUUAACUCACUUAACAAAACGUUCUGGAAAGUUCGGCCAUAGUAGGUGAAAGCCCUGUAUGUGAAAAGUGAAUUAAGUGUGCAUCGAAGAGUAGAGCGAGGCACGUGAAACCUUGCUUGAACAUAGGGGGACCAUCCUCUAAGGCUAAAUACUAAUUACCGACCGAUAGUGAACCAGUACCGUGAGGGAAAGGCGAAAAGAACCCCGGCGAGGGGAGUGAAAUAGAACCUGAAACCGUGUGCGUACAAGCAGUAGGAGCCCGUUUACGGGUGACUGCGUACCUUUUGUAUAAUGGGUCAGUGAGUUACUUUUAGUGGCAAGCUUAACUUUCUUAGGGAGGCGUAGGGAAACCGAGUCUUAAUAGGGCGUUUAGUCGCUAGGAGUAGACCCGAAACCAGGCGAUCUAUCCAUGACCAGGAUGAAGGUGGGGUAAUACCUACUGGAGGUCCGAACCGGGUAAUGUUGAAAAAUUAUCGGAUGAGUUGUGGAUAGGAGUGAAAGGCUAAUCAAGCCUGGAGAUAGCUGGUUCUCCCCGAAAACUAUUUAGGUAGUGCCUCAUGUAUUACUCUCGGGGGUAGAGCACUGUUUUGGCUAGGGGGACAUCCCGUCUUACCAACUCGAUGCAAACUCCGAAUACCGAGAAGUACAAUCAUGGGAGACACACAGCGGGUGCUAACGUCCGUUGUGGAAAGGGAAACAACCCAGAUCGCCAACUAAGGUCCCAAAAUUACAGCUAAGUGGGAAACGAAGUGAGAAGUCAAAGACAGCCAGGAGGUUGGCUUAGAAGCAGCCAUCCUUUAAAGAAAGCGUAAUAGCUCACUGGUCAAGCCGACUUGCGCGGAAGAUUUAACGGGGCUUAAGCUGUAUACCGAAGUUGCGAAUGCUUAUUUUUAAUAAGCGUGGUAGGGGAGCGUUCUGUAAGUCAUUGAAGGCAUAUUGUGAGAUAUGCUGGAGAUAUCAGAAGUGAGAAUGCUGACAUGAGUAACGAUAAUGCGGGUGAAAAACCCGCACGCCGAAAACCCAAGGGUUCCUGCGCAACGCUAAUCGACGCAGGGUUAGUCGGUACCUAAGGCGAGACCGAAAGGUGUAGUCGAUGGACAACAGGUUAAUAUUCCUGUACCGCGUAUACUGCGAUGGGGGGACGGAGAAGGCUAAGCUUACCGGGUGUUGGUUAUCCCGGGAAAAGUAUGUAGGUAGAGAACUUUGGAAAAUCCGGGUUCUUAUUACUGAGAUACGAGACCAUUGAUUUUUUAAUCAAGAAGUAGCUGAUGCCAUGCUUCCAAGAAAAGCCUCUAAGCUUCAGGUAUUACGUGACCGUACCCCAAACCGACACAGGUGGGUGGGAUGAGAAUUCUAAGGCGCUUGAGAAAACUCUGGUGAAGGAACUAGGCAAAUUGGUACCGUAACUUCGGAAGAAGGUACGCCUCUGUUGGUGAUUGAACUUGCUUCAUGAGCUGAUGGAGGUCUCAGAAACCAGGUGGCUGCGACUGUUUAAUAAAAACACAGCACUCUGCUAACUCGUAAGAGGAUGUAUAGGGUGUGACGCCUGCCCGGUGCCGGAAGGUUAAUUGAUCGAGUUAGCCCUUUUGGGCGAAGCCCGUGAUCGAAGCCCCGGUGAACGGCGGCCGUAACUAUAACGGUCCUAAGGUAGCGAAAUUCCUUGUCGGGUAAGUUCCGACCUGCACGAAUGGCGUAACGAUGGCCACACUGUCUCCACCAGAGACUCAGUGAAAUUGAAAUAGCUGUGAAGAUGCAGUUUAAACGCGGCAAGACGGAAAGACCCCGUGCACCUUUACUACAGCUUUACAUUGGAUUUUGAAUCUGUUUGUGCAGGAUAGGUGGGAGGCUAUGAAGCGUAUGCGUUAGCAUAUGUGGAGCCAACCUUGAGAUACCACCCUGACAUAUUUAGAGUUCUAACCUAGGUCCGUUAUCCGGAUCAGGGACAUUGUAUGGUGGGUAGUUUGACUGGGGCGGUCUCCUCCAAAAGAGUAACGGAGGAGCACGAAGGUCGGCUAAUCCUGGUCGGA